GGGAGGCAAGAGGAGAGACCCGAAGCGGCCGCCGGUCCGCGUGUCAGGUGAACUGAACUUCAGCAGGUUUGAUGUGACUCAGAGGAUCAGUUUGAUCAGCAGGUGUUUGAUCUUUUUCCGCCCAGUGGAAGCUUUUAAUAUCUAAAGAGGUGAAGUUGGAAGAGGCGAUUCAUUCUGAUAAAUGGCUUGAAAUGGUGCCGGAUCAUGGCCAUCUAUGGACCCGGUGUUAAGUGGCACAGUGGUUCAGAGGCUGAACUUUGAACGACAUGAUGACACAGCUCUGAGACCUGCUGCCUGCAGGACACAAAUCAUCUGUGGAGAUUCUGAGGUCAGCGAAAUAAAAAUGGAGAGUGGGUGAUGUUCCUGAAUAAAGAUAAAACAUCCACACUUUCAUAUGUAUUAUAGAAGAGGAUGAUCACAGCAGCAACAGCUUCACCAAAUGCAGAAAAUUACAGUAUUUAUUGGAACUUCAAUAGACAUGAAUACAUUUUUUCCUUGUUCCUUUGAGGCAUCAGUGCUGAACUGCUCACAACAUGCUGCUCUUUUUCCCUGUUACUGAUGUGUAAUGUAGCUGUUUGUAGGUAACUGUUGAAAACCUCAGAUCACAUUUAAAUCACUUCAAAUUUAUACUGACAUGUUUUAAAUUUGUUCAUGAAUGCCUCGUCAAAGGGGUCAAAGGUCAUCAGCCAGGCUGGUCAGACACAGAUGGAGACUGUUUGCAUUUAACAUCUGAGGCCAUCCUUGAGCAGAGAUCCAGGUCACAAUCAAACUCCAUAACAUGUGACUCACAGACAAGAAAUCACCAAAUCACCAUGACGACAAGUGGCCGAUCUGUGCUUUUCAACAUCUGAGCAUGAAGUAAAAAUAUUCUGAUCA